GCAGAGUAAGAUGUUAUUAACUGAAAUUGAGGUUAAAAAAGAUAUUUAUUUAUAUAUGCUAUCAGGUGAGAAAUAACAUACUUUAAUUUUCUUUCUGAAAAUUUCUCUGUUCUCUGAAAUUUGAGAAUUUGAAAUCUUUUCAGCUUUUUAAUUUAUAUAAAAGAUGAGUUAUAAACCAGUUUUAUUAUGAAAGUAACUUUUAUUACCAUAGAGUUUAAAGACUAAUAUUCUAAGUGGCAAAGAUGAUGACAAGACUAAUGUAAACUGGUGAAAUCUCUUCAGUGUGGUCAGCCUAAUAUAGUUAAGAAAUAAAAUUAUUAGGCUAUAUUUAUUGGAUGCUGAAAUUCAAGUGGAUGUUAUAUAAAGAGAUCAAGGAAUUAUUGAAUUCUGUUUCCCAAAGAUGCAAUACCUAUGUUCUGUUGUAGAAGGAAAAAAAAAAAAAAAGCCAACAUUGUGGGUAUAGAAACAAAAGAAUUGAAAGCAAGAACUUGAACAGGUAUUUGUUUACCUAUGUUCACAGCACCAUUAUUCAUAAUAGCCAAAAGUUGGAAGCAACCCAAAUGUUCGGUGAUGAAUGUGUGGGAAAACAAAAUGUGGUAUAUACAUAGGCUGGGAUAGUCUAAGAGAGGAAUGGAAUUCUGAUACAUCCUAUAGGAUGGAUGAUCCUUGAAGACAUUAUGCUAAGUGAAAUAAACCAGACACAGAAAGACAGAUAUCAUGUGAUUCCAACUGCAUGAGGUAUGUAGGAUAGACAAAUACAUAAACAAAGACAGAAAGUAGAACAGUGGUUACCAGUGACUGGAGGAAUGAGGAAAUUGGGAGUUGCUCUUUAAUGGUUACAGAGUUUCAGUUUAGGAUUUAAAAAGUUCUGGAGAUACACUGUGGUGAGCUGUUGUACAACAAUGUGAAUGUACUUAAUGCCACUGAAUUGUAUACUUAAAAUGACAAAUUCUAUGAUAUUAUGUAUAUUUUAGCACUAUUAAAAAAAAUCCUAGAAAAGGGUACCACACUCCCAGGCAUUUUACUGGGUAAAAGUAUUUUUUAGGGACCUUGCAAUUAAUCAAAAUAUAAAAAUAAUUAGCCUAUCCUCAUACCCUUGCACUCCUAAAUUGGAGUGGGAAUUUAUACUUGCUACAUCUUAAUUUUUUUAAAGUGAUUUGGUGAAUUACUGUUAGCUUUAUCUACAAAGGUCAAAGCUCUUUAGUCUGAUAUGAUAAGGAAUUAGAGUGUAUAAUCACACACAAAAAGAAAUGUGGAAAGUAGGAUAAACAAGUAUCUAUGUGGAACCCCUUAGGCAAUGUUAAUUAGCCCCCAGUGUCUUAGUUUCCGCUUUAUGAAACUGGUCAUUGUGGGAAUUACAGGACAAUUGAAGGCACCUAUCAUCAUCUUAGACACAGAGCAAGUUCUUGAUGAUGGGUGGUUAUUAUUGGUUUUUCUCUGUUUUGAUUGUUGUUGGUGCUUGAGCUUUCAAGAUGUGUAGAUAUAAAUUUGAUAUAAAUAAUAAAACAUUCAACUAAACCCUUACUAUAAAUAUGUGGAGUAUGGAGUCAUACAAAUGAGCUUCAGGACCUAAAUCCAAAUCUGUAAAAAAUAGAUUAGCCACAUGUGUACAUGCUAGAGAGCCACACUUUCUUUUUUUUUUGGCUUUUUAGGGAUGUACUCGCAGCAUAAUGAGGUUCCCAGGCUAGGGGUUGACUUGGAGCUACAGAUGCUGGCCUACACAACAGCCACAGCAAUGCAGGAUCCAAGCCGCACCCGACCUGCACCACCGCUCACGGCAAUGCCAGAUCCUUAACCCACUGAGCGAGGCCACGGAUCAAACUGCAACCUCAUGGUUCCUAGUCGGAUUCAUUUCUGCUGCACCAAGAUGGGAACUCCUGAGAUCUGCACUUUCUCUUUCUUCUCCCCCGCUCACUCCCCAGUAGCCUCAGAGGAAGAGGAUGAAUAAUAAGGUCACCAAAUAGUCUUUACAAGUAUUUUCAGCUUACUAAAAACAUUCGUAUGUGACUGUAUUUCACCUUCACAUUAACCUCUCCAAAAUUCCUCUGAAAAUCUUCUAAAAUUCCUAAAGCAGGGAUUGUGAAUGUCAGGGUCACAAGGUCAUGGGACAAAGUCCAAGUCUAGCCCCUUCCUCCAUGUCUUGCUGAGCACCAUAGAGUAGACCUGGAUCAAGGAUCAAGUAUCUUGUGUUUCAUUCAUAUUGGAUUCUUACUACAUGAGUUUAUUCAAGAAAAAACGGUGACCCAAAAUUCAUUAAUCAGCAACUUACAGUUUCUUCAGACUGAAAGCCUUGGACAUAGGUACUCAGAUCAAUUAAUAAUCAUUCUUGACAGUCUUAAGGGGCAGAUAUUCUAAAUAGCCAUAGGAAUUUCGAUAGAAGAAUUCUCUAUCUCUAAAUCUUAGAAUAUUUGAGUCUUAGAAUAUCAUAAUGAAGCUGAUAGCAAGAGUUGAAUUGCAAACCUCUUACAAUGCCAGCGUGGAGAGAUAUAACCAUGUUUACCCAAUUUUUUUUUUUUCCCCCACUGUACAGCAAGGGGGUCAGGUUAUCCUUACAUGUAUACAUUACAAUUACAGUUUUCCCCCCACCCUUUCUUCUGUUGCAACAUGAGUAUCUAGACAUAGUUCUCAAUGCUAUUCAGCAGGAUCUCCUUGUAAAUCUAUUCUAAGUUGUGUCUGAUAAGCCCAAGCUCCCGAUCCCUCCCACUCCCUCCCCCUCCCAUCAGGCAGCCACAAGUCUCUUCUCCAAGUCCAUGAUUUUCUUUUCUGAGGAGAUGUUCAUUUGUGCUGGAUAUUAGAUUCCAGUUAUAAGUGAUAUCAUAUGGUAUUUGUCUUUGUCUUUCUGGCUCAUUUCACUCAGUAUGAGAUUCUCUAGUUCCAUCCAUGUUGCUGCAAAUGGCAUUAUGUCAUUCUUUUUUAUGGCUGAGUAGUAUUCCAUUGUGUAUAUAUACCACAUCUUCCGAAUCCAAUCACCUGUCGAUGGACAUUUGGGUUGUUUCCAUGUCCUGGCUAUUGACAUUUUAAAAGAGGUAUUAAAAAAAAAAAAGUUUACCCAAUUUUUAAUACCUCUUUUAAAAUGUUUUCUGUGCCUAUAUAUUUUCCUCACACAAAUUUGUUUAUGUAGUACAUCCAUUGCCUGCCUUCCUACUUCAGUUGCCUAAAUUUUAGUAGAGUUUCUUUUGUAUCUCUUCACCAGCAAUUUGCUUGAUGGAGGUUCAGGCAGAUCUUUAUGGUCAUGGCUCCUUCGAAAAUUAUCCAUGUUUGGUCAGUGCUCUGGGCUAAAACUGAUCAUCAGCAUUACUUCACUCUAGAAAAUAGACUGUUUUGGUUUUAUGUGGGAACAUUGUACAUCUGGAUUGCUGUGUUAAUAUAACAUGCCAGUGAAUGAUGGUUUAAAGACCAUUUUUAUUGUAUAAAAGUUUAUGAUAUUUUGUUUUCAUACUUCAUAAUAGGGUUAGUUUUUUGUUUUUGUGUGUAUGUGUGUGUGUUUUAGUAUUAAUGUAUAGAGGACACGCCAUUUGUUUUGUUAAUUGCUACAUGCCACUUUAAAGUUUAUUAUUCCCCCAAAGGAAAGGGCAACUCCAUUCUUUUACAACACCUAUGUAAAACCCAGAUGACUUAACUUGCUUUUAGAGUACUAUAUUUUCUAAAUAGAUGGUGUGAGAAACUGCAUGCGUAUAGGAAACUUGCUUUAAGUGACAACUCUAGGGACCAGCAAAAAUUGACUGCCUAAGAAAGAUAUAUAGUUAACUAAAAAUUGAACAAAAACUAUCCCUGAAAUUUGGAAUACAUUUAAAGCAGCUGUAUAAAUCAUCAACAAUUUGUGUAGCUGAUGCCAGAAAGAAAAAAAAAAAA
rnacentral:lncRNA from 1 species